rnacentral:misc_RNA from 1 species
AAGUCGUAACAAGGUUUCCGUAGGUGAACCUGCGGAAGGAUCAUUACGUAUCCAACGUUAAACAACCCUGUGAACUUUAAGUCCCCUCUUGCAGCCCAUGAGGAACAGCAAUCCCGGUAAAUCAUUGCCAAACAGUUUUGAUUCGGGACCUCUGUCCAAAAGGAGUUGCAAUCGAAGGGUGGAAGCAGUGGCGACCGGCAGACAUGUCACAGGGUCACCACGCCCCUUAAUCACUCCACUUGAAAAUGCCCCGCCUAGUGGUAACGCGCUAGGUAAAAAAAACCGAACAACUGUUAACAAUGGAUAUCUUGGUUCUC